rnacentral:tRNA from 1 species
GUGGUGGCUCAAUGGAAGAGUGCUUGCCUCACAUGUGUGAGGCACUGGGUUCAAUUCUCAGCACCACA